rnacentral:lncRNA from 1 species
UAUACACUAGAGCCCACUGAAAUUACUCAAAUUAGUCAGUCCCCAAGGAACCUGCCAAACCUAGCUAAGGACACAGCUUGCGAUACAGAAGCUGCCAACUACAGAUCCAGUAUCCUGUAUUGAGGUAAUUCUUUGUGUGAAGAGGUCUAAGCCUUCUCUCAUUUGCAGCUAGAGAAAGAGAUGGAGGGAGAGGGCCAGACAGAGAUGGAGAGACUUACAAUCAGACUCUACUGAGCGCUGAGCCCCAAUCCAGGGCUAAGUCUUACAACCCUGAGAUCAUGACCUGAGCCGAAACCAAGAGUUGAACCCCUCAUUAACUGCGCCCCGCCCAGGUAGGCCUCCAAAGAAUCCUUAAAUCUUAUUAAACAGCUGAGUGCUUU